rnacentral:rRNA from 1 species
AUUGAACGCUGGCGGCAGGCUUAACACAUGCAAGUCGAGCGAGCGGCGGACGGGUGAGUCAUGUCUGGGCAACUGCCUGAUGGAGGGGAAUAACUACUGGAAACGGUAGCUAAUACCGCAUACCAUCCGAUGUCCCCAGAUGGGAUUAGCUAGUAGGUGGGGUAAUGGCUAUCCUAGCCGACCAUCCCUAAAUGGUCGUAGAGGAUGACCAGCGACACUGGAACUGAGACACGGUCCAGAGUCCUACGAGAGGCAGCAGGGGGGAAUAUGUCACAAGGGGCGCAAGCCGGAUGCAGCCAUGCCGCGUGUGGGAAGAAGGCCUUCGGGUUGUAAAGCACUUUCAGCGAGGAGGCGUUACUCGCAGAAGAAGCACCGGCUAACUCCGUGCCAGCGGCCGCGGUAAUAC